AGGUUUUGUACACGGUUUUCUACUUAACACAAGUGAAGGAGUAGUCCUUUACGUCGGCUCAAGAUUACGAUAAAUUGUGGAAGAAAAUUUCUCCUGGGCACUAGUACACUACAUUGGUCGGGGUGCAAAUGGGACAAGUGGAUACAAAAGACAGCCAUCAUCACUAAGAAGAUUUUACCGACUGAAGUUCAAUCAGCAGAUCAUUUGAAGGCAGCAUUCAGACUUGCUAUACAGAAGAAAAAACACCUUCAUAAUUUACUGCAAAUUUUCACAUUUCAGGAAAAACCGGAGAAUGACUGCAUUCAGUUUCCCUUUUCCAAUUAAACAUUAAAAAGUCUUAAAUUGAUGCUUCAUA